rnacentral:rRNA from 1 species
AUGUCCGGUGCACCCGAGAGUGCGCGCCCAAUGUCUGCCCACGGCAAGCAGCAGCCGCUGCUACGCUACCCCGCGCCCGCCGCCGGCAACGGCAGCGGCAGCGGCAUGGGGAGGCGCAGGUACCUCGCCUUCCUAGCCAUCGCCGCGGCCCUGGUCGCCUCCUACCACCUCCUCCACGCGCCCACCCCGUCGUCGCGCUACCACGCGCUCUUCCUCACCCUCGGCUCCAAUGCCAGCGCCGCCGCGCACCUCCGCGCGCUCACACUCCGCCCGCACGUCGCCGGCACCCAGGCCAACGCCCUCGCGGCCGAGUACGUCCGCGCCACGCUCUCCUCCCUCUCCUUCCCCACCCGCGUCACGCCCUACUCCGUCCUCCUCUCCUACCCCGUACACCGCUCCCUCUCCCUCUCUGCGGGGCCCGGUCGCCCCAACAACGUCUUCCCCCUGGUCCAGGAGACCUACCCUGGCGACCCCUACGCCGAGGCGGCGGCCGAGGUCGUUCCCACCUACUUCGCCUACUCCGGCUCCGGCUCCGUCACCGCCGAGGUCGUGUACGCCAAUUACGGCGACAGGAAGGACUACGCCUACCUCGCCUCCCGCGGCGUGGACGUCGCGGGGAAGGUUGUGCUCGCGCGCUACGGGGAUAUCCACUGCGAGGACAUGGUGAGGAAUGCUCGCGACGCCGGCGCCGCCGCGGCGAUCAUCUACACCGACGCCAAGGACUUCGGCGGUCCCGCGGCCAAGGGGAAGCAGAAGUGGUUCCCCAACACGCGGUGGCUCCCGCCAAGCGGCGUUCAGGUGGGGACCCUGUACUACGGGAACGGCGACCCGACCACGCCGAUGUGGCCGUCGUGCGCCGCAGGGGAGGACUGCGAGCGUCUGAGCAUGGAGGAGCUGGACGCGAGCGAGGCGAUGCCCGGCAUCCCCGCGCUGCCGGUGUCGGGGAGGGACGGGGAGACAAUCCAGAAGGCGAUGGGCGGCGGCGUGGCCCCACCGGAGUGGCAGGGCGGCGAGGGCGCGCCUGUGUACCGGAUCGGGCCCGGCCCAGCCGUGCUGAAUCUCACAUACAUCGGAAAUGACACCCUAGCAACCAUCGAAAAUGUCUUUGCUGUGAUAGAAGGGAAAGAAGAGCCUGACAGAUAUGUGAUCAUAGGCAACCAUCGUGAUGCCUGGACAUUUGGGGCAGUCGAUCCCAACAGUGGAACAGCAGCUAUGCUCGAGAUUGCAGAGAGGCUGUCCCAGCUAGAAAAGAAAGGAUGGAGGCCAAGGCGAACAAUCAUCGUGUGCAGUUGGGAUGCAGAGGAGUUUGCGCUGAUAGGGUCUACGGAAUGGGCCGAGGACAACAUCGAUAUAAUUGGUUCAAGAGCUGUUGCUUAUCUGAAUGUGGACAUAUCAGUGUUUGGGCCUGGAGGUCUUGUGCCCCGCGCAACCCCUCAACUCGAUGAAUUGAUCCAGGAAGCAAGCAGAAUGGUACCCGAUCCUGAUGAUCCGUCUCAUACCUUGUAUGACUACAUGAUUCGCCAGAAUCCUCCGAUUGCAAGAGUGGCCGGUGCGGGAACAGACUUUGCAGCUUUUGUCCAGCAUAUUGGAGUCCCUUCACUCGACAUGUCUUAUGGACUAUUUUCAGAGUACCCUGUUUACCACUCGCUGUACGAUGAUUUUGUUUGGAUGCAGCGGUUUGGAGACCCCCUGUUCCACAGACAUGUAGCAUUGGCGAGCGUCUGGGGUCUGAUUGCUUUGAGACUUGCAGAUGAUGAGAUCAUUCCCUUCAAUUAUGUCUCCUACGCGUCUGAACUGGAGGAGAGCUCAAAAGUUGUGGAGGACGGAUGCCCUGGGUGUGCCGUCAGUUUCAGCCCUCUGCACAAGUCAAUCAAGCAGCUUGAGAAGGCUGCCAUGAAAAUUCACAUGGAGAAGAAGGUGCUGCAAGCAGAUAAAUGGGGCCUAAACACGAGGGAACGCACACUGAAAGUCAGAGAGAUGAACGACCGCUUGAUGAUGGCAGAGCGAGCCUUUACCAACAGAGAAGGGCUCGCGGGGAGACCGUGGUACAAACACAUGAUUUAUGCGUCGUCGGACCAGGACGACUGGGGCACCAAGGCGUUCCCCGGCAUCGUCUCGGCCAUGGCCAACGCGCAGAAGCUCAACACGUCGGAGUCCUGGCGGCUGUUGCAGCAUGAGAUUUACAGGGGUGCAAGGGCCGUGUCCAAGGCCUCUGCGGUCCUGGAUGGCAGGCUAACAUGA